ACAACACCAGGGCCGUCGGUCUACCGAGCAAUAUCACUCGCUUGGUGGAAGGUCUCUUUGUCGU
rnacentral:pre_miRNA from 1 species